AUUCACACAUUCUCACAUCGCGACUCUCUCUAAAACCGUAACCACCCCGACGCCGUUCCCGAUCGAUCUUCCUUGUGAUUUUCCCGGCGGUUUAGACCGGCGAAGCUGGAAAUUCGACUUGCGCCCACGAUUCUUGGCUUGUUCCGAAGCUGGCCUUCGGUUUGCUUUCACGAUUCUUGCCUUCUUUGUAGGAAAAUUAAAGAUUGAAAUCCGAAACAGCUAUGAUCGGGGUUCAUGUUAUUGUUGUGGACAUGGAUAAGACUGCCUUGUAUAAACUGGCUCACAUCCUUCUCAACCAUAGCUAUACAGUGUCUGUGCGCACUUCGAUGCAAGAUGUAGAGAAAUUGCUUCAGCUUGAACAAGGAUUCGAAUUAUUCGACUUGGUAAUAUGCAAUGCAGACCUUCCUGGUCUCGACAUUACGAAGUUUCUUGCCGACGUGGCAGUUGAGAGGGAAAUUCCCGUAAUAAUGAUGUCCGUUGAUGGUGAAGACAGCAAAGUGAUGGAAAUGAUCGAGGGUAAUUGUGCAGCUUACUACCCCAAGCCAAUCGAGGAGAAAGACGCGAAAUACUUGUGGCAGUAUGUGGUUAGAAAACGAAAGGUGACCAAGCAGCAUUUAACAUCAAUGGCGGCAGCAGCAGCAUAAAAAAGUAAUUCUAAUUAGUUGGUUAAUAUUUUAAUACUAAUAUAUAUUUUGCUAAUUACGGAACUGCUUCGUCUUUUUCACCAUAACUCGAUUCCCACCCUCCGCCAUGGACUACGCUUUCGGAUUCUCCCUUCCGCCGCCGUGAUAGAAAGAAGAACACUCAGGCAAAAAAAGUGGUGCGGAGGAGGCCAAAUUUAGAAUUUGUUGGACGGCAUUGAAGGACAACUCAUUGAGAUGUAUGGUUUAGGGUCUUCUGUUCGAUCCCGAUCUCUGUUCAACCGUGCAAUCAGAUACUGCAGUAGUUCACUAAAAUCGAUUUGGAUUUCGGGUUACAGAAAUCUGGGUUCUGUUGUGAAAUUGUACCCGCUCCGGUUCGGCUUCGGGUGACCCGGAUCUCCGAUUUCUUCCUCCGCUUGCUUGACCUUGAAGAAGAAUAAGAAGAUGAAUCAUGCCCUAAUCCCCCGUCGCCGUCGCCGCCUCUAUUCUUCUUCUUCUUCUUCCGCCGCCUCAGCUUCGUAAAGAACUCCUCCGACCCUAUCUGGACCGUUACAAGAUACCCAUCCUCGAACUUUCCGUCGAUCACUCCACACACCGGAAGAGUUGACGAUGAUGAUGAUAAUGAGGUGUUUGGCGGGAAUUGUUUGAUGGCGGGAGAGGCAGGGGAGGAGGGAGUCCAGGACUUGGCCUUUAAGAAAUAAAUCUGCUCAUAGUUGUAGAGGAGAGAGAUGUACUACUUUUGGAGAGAGUAUCUAUAUAUGUAUAUUCCCUCACUCUUGUUAAGGUAUUCAUAUACCAAAAUAAAAAA